CACGUAGGGACCAAGCGUUGUCCGGAGUUAUUGGGCGUAAAGGGCUCGUAGGCGGUUCGGUAAGUCGGGUGUGAAAAAUCUGGGCUUAACUCAGGGGCGCCACCCGAUAAUGAUGUGACUGGAGUGCGGUAGGGGCGUGGGGAAUUCCUGGUGUAGCGGUGAAAUGCGCAGAUAUCAGGAGGAACACCGGUGGCGAAGGCGCCACUCUGGGCCGGUACUGACGCUGAGGAGCGAAAGCGUGGGUAGCAAACAGG
rnacentral:rRNA from 1 species